CUGGAGAAUGCAUGGAUGGUUUCUCUGCUGAAAUCAGUGGAUGAGCUCACAGAGUUCCAUGCUUUUGAACAUUCCUGUCCUUUUUCUCCAGACAUCUGAAGAUCUUUCCCCCACACUCCAGGAUCUGCCUCUAUGGGUGUCCUCUGGGAUUACUCUGAUCUCUUAAUAAGCCGUGUUGACUAGAGGAGAUUAACCCCUACUAUUAGAAGUGGAGCUCUGGUGAAGGCAACAAGCUGAACCAAAAAUCUAUGCCAUGGCAAAGUCUGUGGCUAACUCCCUAACUGGCAAAAUGCUUCAUCUUACUGGACUUAAAGCAGACCUGCUCUGAGAAGGAGUGCUUAUCAGUCCUGUUUUCCCCUCACUGGCUGAAUGAUGGACUACAGCUGCUGGGUCCAGGAUUCCCAGUGUGCUGGGAUGAGGGGGAUGAGCUGGACAACCCUGUGUGUGAUCCCCCAGCCUCAACAGCUGGGCCAGCUUCUCUCUUGGUCCAGAGCCCUUGGUCCGUGCAGAUGAGGAGGUUGUGAGCAUUGCUGGGUGCUCCUACGUGACCUCACUGAGCCUGGCUGGACCUGCCAUCAUCACAGGAGUCAGACUGAACCAGAGACAAACAGAUCCAAAGGCUGAACUGAACUGCAAAGAAACCCCAAACAAUGUGAACUGGGCUUCCCCCAAAACACUGUUACUUGGGGGCUUGGAGUUUGCUUUUUGCCUUGUGAAGCAGUCAAUCAAGUCUGAUCUGCAAACACCACUUUUUGGUGAGGAACUGGAACACUCUGGCCCUCAGGUCCAUCUUAUAUUUUUCCUAGAAUCGGUCAUUUCCUGAAACAGUGCUGUAGUUAGGUUUCUCCUCUGCCCUCUUCUAGUGAAUUGUUUUUCAUCCCAAUAAAAGAGAAGAAAUUCCCCAGCUCAAAGCCCAGGCAUCCUUGAGGCCAGAGGAAGAGUCAUGAGGUUUGCUGUAGCUCUUCAGCCUGGAGGACGCACUCGCAGAUCUGCUGGGUCCAGCCUGGCGCUUCCAGUCAUGCUUAGUUGCUAAUUAGCUCCUCCAGCCCUUUCUCUGGGAAUUGUGAUAAUGAACAUAAAGAACUGUUUAUUCUAAAUGAAACUUCCCAAGGGUAACAGCCUCCUCAGUGGCUGUAGAAAUGGAAGGCAAGCCUGAGGAAACACCAGGGUGCUGUGGGUUUUGGCAGCAGUUGAUAAACAUUUCUUAGUGGAUGGAGCAGAGCAUGUAAUUUACUGUCCAACUCUAAUAAGAGCAGAUUGGCCAUUUUGCUGUUCUUUUCCAUUGCUGUCAAAAUGCAACAGCUAAAUCCCAGUGAGAAACUGAAAAGUUGACAUUUUUGCAAGGAAGCAGCAUACAACUUACUGGACUCUCUGUGGUAUGUGAAUUCAUCAUUUUUAUAAGAUCUCAUAUGUUCUGUUAACUGCUUUAUCACUCAUGGAGGGGCAGACCAGUCCUACCCAUCCUUCUGUAGUGGACAGUUGUGGGAUCAGACAACAUCUGCACAAACACUUGUGCAGCUUUCAAGGGCAGGAGGCUUCAGCUGGACUUUGUACUGGUUUGCAUUGCACAGGUGGAAAAAAAAGGAAUGAUCCCAAGCCAUGAGCUUGCCCCUCAAGCAAAACCAUCAGCCAUUUUUUUUAAAUCCUCAGCAGCAUUUACUCCAAAAAUCAUCCCCUGGCAGGAACUGAUGAGAGUGGCUGCUUUACUGUGACUGUGGUGAUAACAACAAAAGCAAAAUAAACGUCCUGUUGUCCCUGUUUUAUCCCCAAAGCUAUAGAACAAGGAAAUAUAUCAACACAGAUCCUGGGCAGAGUGAUGGAUUCAGGCAGCAGCCCCACUUCCAGGCUCACACUAGCACAUUCAAAACUGGUUUGGACAGCUUUGAGCACUACUGCACUAUGCUGUGUGUGAACAGUGAACUGAAUCAAUGAAAUUCAGAGAUUCAAGAUGUGUGCCAGUGAGGCCAAUACCCAUGUCAUCAGGUAGUCAACAUGGGCAGUCCUUGAACCUUCCUGGCACAAGCUGCUGGAGAAGAAUCAGGCUAGUGAGGAUCUCUGCUUGGGGGUGGAUCACCUUCAGCUGGUUUCUCAAGGGACCCUGACAUAGAUAUAUGCACUCCAGACUGGACUAGAAAAAAACAGACAUAAAGACUGGAGACCAAAUUCCCACAAUUUUUCACCCCAGCCUGUGUUUUACAGUUGUCUUCCCUUAGACAUCCACCAGCACCCCCAGAUGGUGCAAUUUCCAUCUCAGGGCUGGCACUGAGCUGCUGUGGCAGUCCAUGGUGUCUCCCUGUGACCCCAUCUUCUGCAGAACUGUAUCAUUAAAACAUUCUGGCAGAUGAAAUAAUUAAGUUGGACAUUGGCUGAAAAAGUACAUGAAGACAAGCAAGAUCUCUGAUGGCUUCAAGCAGCUCUGAAAGGGAGUUUGGUGAGCAGGGAAUGUUGAGCAAAUAGCACCAUUUCACAUGACAGUGACCUUGUGAACAUGCAAAGAGUUUUGGCACUCAGAUUAAGAAAAGCCAGCGUUAAGCACAAUUUUCACUGGACUUCUGUGGUUCUCUGUUGUGAUUCAGGAUUUAAUUACAUGAUUGUAGUCUGGAGUUUUUUUCCAGUUCCAUUUCUGGAAGGAUUCCUGAGAGGUCCAAAUGCAAUGAUGUUUUAGUAUUGCACUCGCCCUGGCUUACGAAACAGCUGAAUCCACAGGGAGAGUCAGAGGAGCUGCACAGCUGAGGAGGCAGCUGCCCUGGCCUCCAGCUCUGCAAACAGAGUUCCCCUAAGAGCUCCCUCAAGGCUGACCCGUCUCUGGAGGAGCUCUGGGUUCACAAUGCUUGGCUGUCAAACCACAGGCACACACCCAGCCUCACACACGGGGUGAUGCAUCUGUGCAUGGGGGUGCUCAGGGUUGAGGAGGUACCUCUGGGGGGUCUCCCCACCCCAGAAGGGAUGUGGCUGGAGACUGUCAGCAGAGUGACCAAGGAGACCACCUCCUCCUCUUGCUUUUGUUGCAAAUUUCAUCAUUUCAUGGCCUUUGACCACCUUCCAUAGGAGUGAAGCUCUGAAAGAGUUUAAAGAAAUAGUUCUGGUGAAAACUGGGGCAUUAAAGCCCAGGUUUCCUCUGCUUAUGUGUCUCAAGCAAGGCACUGGGGUUAGGAGUUUUGCCAUGCCACUGCCAGGCUGAGGUGCCUCUCAGAAGCAUCUGCCCCUCCCUGAGGAAGAGAGAGACACCUGUACUAGGGCACAUCUGUCCCUGUGCAUGCUGACAUGGUGGUUUUGAUAUGAAAAUCAGCUAUAAUAAGAAAUGUGAUGGCUUUGAUUUUCCUGCACUCACUAUGUGCUAACAUGGAGAACUCUGUCCUGGCCCUUGCAUCCUGUCAUAGAUGAAAAUAUAUUCUGUCAGGAAUUAUUGUUCUGUUCAGGGUUUGCAUAAGGAUUUGGGAUUCUGUUCCAUGACAGGCACAUUUUUAUGCCAAUCUAGUGUAAGCACCAAUACUUUUCUUCUGUGAAAGGUAAAGAGUGGUGUUAAUUUGGUAGCAAAUCUAAGGAAUUAGAAUCAUAGAAUUAUCGAAGUGGGAAGAAAAAAAAUCUAAGUAAGGAACUAUCAAUUUUAUGUUGAACAUAGUUUCUAUUUGCAGCCUUCAUACCCUAGUGGUUAACAUAAUGGAAGUGAAAACAUAUUAUUACUACUACCAGUACUAAUUAAGAGUGUAGAAAUGCUCAGAAAUCCAAAUCAGAGCAAAAUAUGUAACACAAUACAUUUCUAAAUGAAUGUGUACAUUUUAUUUCAAGUGUGUGGUUUUGUGCCAGCAAACAGCACACAGGUUCUGAGCAGAAGCUUCAAAUUCUGUGUGCAAAGAGGGGAGUGUGAUGCUAUUUUCAUUUUUCUAUUUGACUCCCCCCCACAUGAUGGCAAUCAUAAUUGCUGAACACCAGUACACAGAACUAUGGCUUAGGGUUACCUAAUGUCCUGGCAUUGAAUUGCUUAAUGAUCUCUAUGUUACUGAACGUUGCACAUUUUUCUUCUGCUUGCAACAGAAUCUGAAACUUCAUCUAUAAUGAACUAUUCUGGUUAACAUUCUGCCUUAACUUUCAUUCAAUUUUUAUGAUUGUGCUUUAGCAGAUUCAUCCACGGAAGUGUCUAUGUGGGCAACAAUAAAAAGCUCAAGUUCAAUUUAUUCUGAGUUAUUAUCUGCAAUUGUGACAGAUAAUAGAUACUGGAUUUCUGUUAGUAUUGUGAUUCAUUUAAAUAAAAACCAUAUGUCUGAA